AGUCAGCCUUGUGCACCCUCUGCCACGAGGAAAUAGAAUCAAUAGAACAGUCAGCCUUGUGCACCCUCUGCCACGAGGAAAUAGAAUCAAUAUGACAGUCAGCCUUGUGCACCCUCUGCCACAAGGAAAUAGAAUCAAUAGUACAGUCAGCCUUGUGCACCCUCUGCCACAAGGAAAUAGAAUCAAUAGAACAGUCAGCCUUGUGCAGACUCUGCCACGAGGAAAUAGAAUCAAUAGAACAGUCAGCCUUGUGCAGACUCUGCCACGAGGAAAUAGAAUCAAUAGAACAGUCAGCCUUGUGCACCCUCUGCCAUGAAGAAAUAGAAUCAAUAGGACAGUCAGCCUUGUGCAGACUGCCACGAGGAAAUAGAAUCAAUAGAACAGUCAGCCUUGUGCACCCUCUGCCACAAGGAAAUAUAAUCAAUAGAACAGUCAGCCUUGUGCACCCUCUGCCACGAGGAAAUAGAAUCAAUAGAACAGUCAGCCUUGUGCAGACUCUGCCACAAGGAAAUAGAAUCAAUAGGACAGUCAGCCUUGUGCACCCUCUGCCACAAGGAAAUAGAAUCAAUAGGACAGUCAGCCUUGUGCAGACUCUGCCAUGAGGAAAUAGAAUCAAUAGAACAGUCAGCCUUGUGCAGACUCUGCCACGAGGAAAUAGAAUCAAUAGAACAGUCAGCCUUGUGCAGACUCUGCCACGAGGAAAUAUAAUCAAUAGAACAGUCAGCCUUGUGCAGACUCUGCCACGAGGAAAUUGAAUCAAUAGAACAGUCAGCCUUGUGCAGACUCUGCCACGAGGAAAUUGAAUCAAUAGAACAGUCAGCCUUGUGCAGACUCUGCCACGAGGAAAUUGAAUCAAUAGAACAGUCAGCCUUGUGCAGACUCUGCCACGAGGAAAUUGAAUCAAUAGAACAGUCAGCCUUGUGCAGACUCUGCCACGAGGAAAUUGAAUCAAUAGAACAGUCAGCCUUGUGCAGACUCUGCCACGAGGAAAUUGAAUCAAUAGAACAGUCAGCCUUGUGCAGACUCUGCCACGAGGAAAUAUAAUCAAUAGAACAGUCAGCCUUGUGCAGACUCUGCCACGAGGAAACAGAAUACUGUCCAUCGGUGGCUUGCUUUUGGAGUCAUGUCCAGGAAUGGUUAUGUCAUAUCAGGGUUCAGAUGGACAUGCCGACUAUUGUCAUGGCAUCGGAACAACCACGAAAGGUCAAUGGGGAAACAUCAUUGUAGUCUUGGGUAAAGUAUUUAUUUUCAGGGCAAUAUCGGUAGAAAUUUUACAAAUAGGGAGGUUGAGGAGCCUCGUAAGACAUCACAGUAAAAUGGAGGGAUGUAUUGCAGAAGGAAAUUGUUAAAUGGCGUUAUACUGUGAAAGAUGGGUUAGUCUGUGGACACCUUUAGGGUUGGCGUAAUACUGGGAAAGAUGGGUUAAUCUGUGGACAUGGGAAGGUUGGCGUAAUACUGGGAAAGAUGGGUUAAUCUGUGGACAUGGGAAGGUUGGCGUAAUACUGGGAAAGAUGGGUUAAUCUGUGGACAUGGGAAGGUUGGCGUAAUACUGGGAAAGAUGGGUUAAUCUGUGGACAUGGGAAGGUUGGCGUAAUACUGGGAAAGAUGGGUUAAUCUGUGGACACAGGAGGGUUGGCGUAAUACUGGGAAAGAUGGGUUAAUCUGUGGACACCGGAGCGUUGGCGUAAUACUGGGAAAGAUGGGUUAAUCUGUGGACACAGGAGGGUUGGCGUAAUACUGGGAAAGAUGGGUUAAUCUGUGGACACCGGAGCGUUGGCGUAAUACUGGGAAAGAUGGGUUAAUCUGUUGACACCGGAGGGUUGGCGUAAUACUGGGAAAGAUGGGUUAAUCUGUGGACACCGGAGCGUUGGCGUAAUACUGGGAAAGAUGGGUUAAUCUGUGGACACCGGAGCGUUGGCGUUAAGAUCGGGAAGAGAAUGUGAAUUGGCUGCUGUGGGUGAAAAUCCAGCACUUGAAGAAAGAGUAAAUUAGAAAUAUAAAUGUAUAGUUAUUUAAUGACAGGUACUGUAGAUGUGAGUGAAACAGCUGUAAAUAGCAGAAGUAUUGUAGUCUGUUUAUUCCAAUCAGAGUAGGGAAAUGAACAAAUAAGGAGAUUGGAAAUGAUGCAGACACUUUCAUGGAUAGAACCUAUAAUCUAUAUGCAAUAUUAAAGCUGAUCUAUUUGCCCCCCCCACACCAACAAAAAAAUCAAUGGAAUUAAUGUUUUGCUCCAUGAGGUAAUCCAACAAUGUGUACACCGCCAUCGUGCUCAUCUUCUCUCAUUGAUUAAGUCAGGUGGGUGUCCACCCUGUAGUGCCACAUGUCAUGAUUAAACUCAUUUGACUUUGAAAUAGUCAAGAUGGUGGCGUACAGAUUGUUGGAUUACUUCAUAGAUCAAAAAAUGUAUAACAGCAUAUUCUGAAAUUCAAACGAACUCCCUGCAACUAGAUAUGGAUGUUUUAGGUCUUCCAAGUCAGGAAUGGAGGAAGUCUCGCCAAGUGAACGUUGGUUAAAUUCUGUGCUAUGCCAAACAGUACCUAACCUGUAAGGUCUGAUGGAGCAUCACAUUAGCCAUUACAAUAUGCUAGCUAAACCACACCCCUCCUGUUAUUCAAUCAACAAUCUGUUUACACUCACUGUCUGCUCCCACACACCUCCCAAAAAGGUAGAUUCCUUAUCCCAUUGCUUCAGGAGCAACGUCAUGGCAACGUCAUUUUGUGGGCACCGUAUAACAUGCCCUACAGAUUCACCUGCUUUUGAUGGCUCUCGCUAAUCACCAGACUGACUCCAGUGCUGCCUAGUCAUCUUUUUAUCUACAGGCUGGGGUUUCUCUAGGAUAUCGUACCUGUUCUAGUACCACGAGAGAAACCAUUUCCCCCUUCUUUUUUUUGACAAGCUUAGACUUUCAACAGAAGAGUUGUGGAUGGAUGCAUUUGUUGGAGUGGGAUAGUUGUAAUUUUUUCUCAUUUUGUUUCUGUAUAGUCGUGAUAAUACAUACUUGAAGUUGUAUGUACAAAUAAGACUGAGGUGAGUAACAGAUUACUACAAAACACUUAAUACUCUGUUCAUUUACAGCUAAAAAUCUAAUGUUUUUCAGUGUUAUGGCUGCAUUAGAAAUACAAUAAUGACCUUGCGGUCAUAGUCAAUGUGUACAACAUAGGUUUAUUUAUUUGCAGUCUUCUUCAGGACCUACUCAUUAACCCAUUGCAUCAAUACGAGAAUAUGUUAUUGCUGUCCUUGGGGUAAUGACUCUCAGAAUUUAGCUUGAUUGAUGGCCCUUUGGUAAACAUGAUACAGAUAAAUAAAUCCCAAUUAAAAUCAGUGGACGGCCAAGGCUAAAUAUGAAUGAUAUGUGUUUGAUGUGUCGUCUUCGGACUUGUGUGAUACAAGGAAAGCUUGGAAGACUUAUACAUCUACGGUAAAAUGUGAAUGAAAGUUUUCUCUUGUGUGAUGUUGCGCUAUAGCUGCCUGUUAAGACACCAGAGAACAACUGUACAGUUUUUUUUAUGUAGAUACAAAAUGUCAGAUUUCCCUAUGGUGUAGAAUGCGUGGCUCUUGGGAAUGUGACAAUGUGCAUGUUUACUGUCACGAUACACUAAAAGAUAUGAGUAUGAGUGACUCUUGUGUCUUUUUGAAAAUGAUCUCCUGUUGACGCCUUAUAACAAAACCUAUUGCCUCUUCCCAUAUGGCAGUUGUUCUUUUUAUUUAUUGGUUGGUGUGCCGUAACUUUCCACUGUUUUUGUAUUUUUCCUCAGUUUGCCCCACCUCUUGAGCCCCUAAACUUUUACGCAACCACCCAUAGGCACAUUGUAUCUGUCCCAUUAUGGCGUCUGUGAGAGCACCGGCAGCGCCAUUGAGGCCAUCUCCAUUUUGAAGUAGUAAAUUUUGUCAUUCUCCUUCUAUGAGUUGGCAAACAAACUUAAAGGGUGCACACUGCCACCUAGAGUGUGUUUUGAACAGGUAUAAAGACGAGGUUCGGCUAUUUACUGCCACCUGCAGUUAUGGAAUGUUUUCUCACAAGUAUAAUUCAUUGGCUGAUCCCUCCUGGUGACCUGGAUUUAAUUAUGUGAUCCUUCCUUAAGCCAUAGGAAUCCCCACCCAGAUUACUACUUUAAAAUGCUGGGUGCCCUCAAUGGCAAUGUCCAUGAAAAAAUAGGUUUUCUACAUCUAGAGACCUCUGUCAUUCUCUUUGUCAACAACCACACGUUUGACAUUUGCAUACAUCAAGUGACUGACUUGACUGCUUUGGGAGCCAGUCAUGUGUCAUUUCUUCUCCUUUAUCAUGAACCCCCCACAGAAAAAAUGCUUCUCCACUCAUUUUGAGUUCUUAUCAUAUCAGGAUAAGAUAAUUAUAUUACUCUACUCUUUGUUGAGAUGUGUGAAUACCAACUUGCGUCUAGGCAGUGGAACUGUAGUUUAGUUUGCAGUGAAAGCGAGGUCCCACAAAGUUAUCUAUGGGGUGAGAUAAGGACGCCCAGCUGUGUGUUAAGGUCUGUAUCUUGUCUGUUUUUUUUUCUUCAGUGUCUGGCUCCACUUAGGUCUUUAACAAAUAUUCCCAUUUUAAGUGUGCAAAAUCGAGAGAAUCAAAGCUUUGAGCUGAGCAUUUCACAAAGUAUGCUUCAGAUGUAUUUUAUUUUUCAAGGUUUGGCAUUACUCAUGUGGUCAAGAGUCUGUCUUUACAGGCGUUUUGUGAACCCCAUAGGUAACGGAACCAGAGCCGUUACUACUAUUCUUGGUGCACCGGUGUUCCUAUUGAUAGAAAGGGAUCUUUACUGAGCAUUUCAAUCACCAGCUUUGUUUUUAUUCUGCUUUGCGCCAUUUUUGUUUUGGAUAACUAUUGACCAUGCCACAUAAUGGUCUCUGAUAAUAUGCCCGCCAUACUUGUCAGUUUUAUUCUGCCAAAUGGAAGAAAGAGCUCUUUGUCUGUCUUGUUUUGAAACGUAAAUAAAGAUGGGCUGAUGUUUUAAA